GGAGAUGAGGCCUACCCUCCCCCACCACCCCCAUCCCAACCUGCCUCUCUCCCCCUGCAGAGGAGGAAGGGGCCCUCCUGCCCUAGGCCCUGGGGCGAGUUUCCAGGGCCUUCAUGGUCACGCUCUGCUGGGGUAGCCCCGGGGGUGGCUGGGUGUGGGGAGGCAGAUUCUGUAGCCAGAACCCUGGCACCUCCCAUCUGCCAGGCACCGCGCCAGGAGCCUGCCGGGCUUGCCUCCCUGCACGCUCAUUCCAGAGCUGCGGGGAGAGACGGAGGCAGAGUCUGCCCCUGCCCGGCCCUGUUCUGUGCCCGGAUGGAGAAGCCUGGAGCCCACUGCCCUCUGCUACCUGCCGAGCCCCUUCUCCCCACAGCCACGUUGGGGGUAUUUUUGAGACUAAAGCCAAGUGCGCUUGGUGAAGGGAAGGCCCUGGCGAAGGACGUCGGAGAAUGGGCUUGGUUUCCUUGAAGGUUUCCAUGUGGGUGUAUAUUGUUUUCCGUUCUGUUGGAGCACCAAGAAAUGCUGUUACCAGAGUUGUUGAGACCUGUUCUGGGGAUAUCCAACAAGGAAUGAGGCUCCCAUGCAUGCAUCUGCUCCGAGGACGGAAGAGUGCCUGGACCAUUGAUCCAAACAGUGAUGAUGACAUACUUUGCAAACGUCAACUCGGAGUUGGGGAUCCAUGAGAAUCGCCUGGAUGUUCACGGGGCACUUCUGGAAAUCGAAAGCUGGAAACACCAAAUCGGGGACCGGGGUCAGUAUUUCCACUCUCCCCACAUCAGUGAACAUCAGGGCUGCCUCUUGGGACCAGAUGUUUUGGCCUGCAAACUAAGCAAAAAGCGAUUUCAGAGAUCAGGUCAUUCUAAGUCUUUUUUGAGGACACCAAUUUUAUCUUACACUUCAGAUUUAAAGCAGGUAGACCAAACAAACAAACAAAGUCAUCAGUACACUUUGUGAAAAUACCUACUUUCCAGCUUCAUUCAUUCCUUGGUGAUUAAAAAUGGAAACUCUGUCUUUCGUCACCAGAGGGGAUAGGCAGGAACGAAGUCUAAACUUAUGCACAGGUCCUGGACCGCUCUGGAGAGUUGGGACGAAAGCUACAGACCCUCACCCAGAAAAUGCCCUGGUUGUCAGAAUGUCUCCCCGAAGCUUUCAAAGAGACAGUCCUAUUCCUCGUCCUAUCCUAUUCCAAUGCCGGGCAGCCUUCUGGAACUACGGUGCCUGCAGCCCAAGCAGCAACAGCACUGACGUAGGGAUCAGCACACUUGGCGGACUUUUCUGGCAUGGCUGCUGAUGAGUUACAGGGCCUUAGGAAAGAGGGAAUCUUGAGCUUCAGUUUUUCCUCUCUUGUAAAAGUUGGACAUUCUGAUCUCCUUCCUGGGGCUUUGUGAGGAUGAAAUAGAGCCAGGUAGGCAUGAUGUAUAAGGUAAUGUGAAAUGACCCCUCCCUACCACCACUUCCUACCUGUCUGUGCCUCAGUUUUUCCAUCUGUCCAAUGGGGACAAUUUAAAGCUCUACUUCUUUUCUUUCUGUUUUUUUUUUAAGUUUAUUUAUUUAUUUUUAGUAAUCUCUAUGCCCAAGAGAUUGGGCUCAAACUCACGACCCCGAGAUCAAGAGUCACACACUUUCCGACUGAGCCAGCCAGGGUGCCCUAAGGUUCCACUUCU